CCAUAAUUUUCCGUCGGAACAAUUAUCUUUCAACCCUGUAGAGAAUGCGGGCUCAAAUAAUCGCGCGGAACCUUAAUAUUAUCUACUCUGUACAAAUAGUAGUGUAUAAAAUCGCGCGGACCUAAUCCACAAAGCGCGGAACACAAAUAUCUUCCGCGAAAAUUAAGCAUUGAAUUACUGUUCAAAUCUCGGGUUGCUAUGUAAAUUGCGGGUUGCUAAUGUAAAAUCGCGCGGAAGAUUCAUUACUCCGCGCGAUUUUCAAUAGCAUUGAAUUACUGCACGAAAUUCGGGUUGCUAUGUGGUUACGCGAUAAAAUUUGAUUGGUUCCGACACCUAGAAAGAACCAAUCAAAACUCGCGUCUUAUCCAGCAUUCAUGCAGUCAUCAUGAUGACGGUUGUUUCACAUUAACACAAAACCUUUUAAGGGCGAAAGAGUGAUCAAUUUUGAUGACAUUAGCGAUGAGCUGUAGCAGUGUUCCCAACUUGAACAUCAUCUUCUGUGUACAUAUCUGAGGCAGAGCCAGCUUGCCCAUCUGACCUCUGUUGUGGACAACCGAGUAAGAGCCAGCUUGCAUGUCAUUUGUUGUGGACAUCCGUGUUAGAGCCAGCUUGCACGUCCUCUAUUGUGGACAUCAGUGUUAGUGCUAGCUUGCAUGUCAUCUGUUGUGAACAUCCGUGUAAGAGCCAGCUUGCACGUCAUCUCUUUUGGACAUCAGUGUUAGAGCCAGCUUACACAUCCUCUGUUGUGGACAUCCGUGUAAGUGCUAGCUUGCACGUAAUCUGUUGUGGACAUCUGUGUUAGAGCCAGCUUGCACGUCAUAUGUUUAGGACAUCAGUCAGAGAUAGAUUGCAUGUUAUAUACUUGUGGACAUUAGUCAGAGCCAGCAAGGACAAUCUCUGUUGUGGAUAUCUGUCUUAGAGCUUGCACGUCAUCGGUUGUUCACAUCCUUGUAAUAACCAGCUUGCACAUCAACUGAUGUGGAAAUCUGAGUCAGAGCCAGCUUGCACAUCAUCCGUUGUGGACAUCUCUUUAUGAUUCUACUCUUUGCUUAGAUUGACACUGUGACUUUAGUGUAAUAUGUUACAACCUUAAGCUAUUCCUAUUGUUGAAUAAAAAUAUUGUGUCAUUAAAAUAUAUUUUGUUGGAUAA